UCCCCACAGGACAAGGAAAAUUACAUAAGUAAUGAACCUAUUUGAUUAGGAAAUGGACUUGAAUACCAGAACUCUUUUGGGAAUUUGUUCCAAUCAACCAGAGAUAACCUACAGCGGAAGGCAGCAACAUUGUUAUGUUAUUAAACUCCUUUCAUCAAAUAUAUCUAAGCACAGAAGAGCCAUUAGGCCUCUUGCUCUUGUGCAGUCAAAGAAUUAGGGUCAAUUCUUCAUUUAACUUCAUGUAGGAAUACAAUGUUACUGGGGGGAAAUUAUACCUCAAAUAUGUAUGAGUGUGUCUAUACAUAUGAAUACCUUACUUUAUGAAAGCCCUUGGAUAGCUGAAUGGACAGAAGGAGGAGCAGACAAAAGGCUGAUUUCCUCAGGGAGAAGUUGCCAUAUGGCACUGGUGCCAGCGCCGAACAGACUGCACCUGCCUCCGAUACCCACCGAGCUUUGGCCACCCUCAAAGGAAACAGGCAACGGGGCUGAUUUGAUGGAGCAGUGACAAAACCUCACCACAUUUCAGUUCCUCUCAGCACCAGCCCUCCUCCUCUCCCCACCAAACCCCAGCAAGCAAAUCCCGGCGUUUCUGCUCUCUGCGAUGAAUCCAGCGCAAAUACCCGCAAAUACCUAAUUGCUGGAGUGGCAUCUCUGUGAUGGUGCCUGCAGUUCUCUUCAGUCAUUAUUUCAUUAUUCAGCAGGAAGAUCCACGCUGGGAUUUUGUAGUUUUGGUAAUAAUGGCUUGGCCCUGGGGAAGGUAGCUGUGUGCUGGCACCCAGACCCUGCGCUGGUCCAUCCCCUCGCUGGUGCUGGCACACGCUCUGCCGGGGUCACAGUGCAAAGUGAAGUUGCCUCAUUAGCAUCUCUUGACUGAAAAAGGGUAAAACUUAAAAUGAAUCCAUCUGUUUUCUGUACUGCUUUGUUUAUACUUUCUAAUGCUGGGUUUUGGCAGGCCCAGGCACUAUUUAUUCAUCACUGUUGUCACUUAUCCGUUCAUCUAGCCGCAGAAUUUUGAAUAGGAGCGUUCGCUUACUCAGGCAAAUUCUUCUCUGUGUAUUUGUUUGUCUUUUUGGAUAUAAGAGCCAAAUAUUUAUUUGAAAGUGAAAUCCUGAACAGCAGUCAUGUGAAAGCAAAGAGACUGGGAGGAAAAGGGAAUAAAGGUAUGUCUGAUAGCA
rnacentral:lncRNA from 1 species